rnacentral:lncRNA from 1 species
GCGGAAUUCGUCCCUCUCUUUCUGUUCGGUUCUCCGUCCUCUCCUCCGUGACCUCUCCAUGGCGGCUGCGAAGGCCUCGGCGAAGGAAGACGACGCGUAGGGGCUCUUCUCCUUGGCCGACCUCGGUCUCCAAGGUCCUCCCGCCCUCACCCUCUCUGAUCCCCCGUGUCUCCGUGGCCCUGGUGAUUUGGAGCUCACCCCCAAUCUCGUCCAUGUAUGAUUUGAAGCUCACCCCCAAUCUCGUCCAUGUAUGAUUGAAGUAGAAGUUUUACAGAAGACGCAUGUUCAAACUCCACUUAUUUGUUGCAUAUGAAUAUUAAUUCAUUCUAUUGGAUUCCUGUUAUGUUAAGUACAAUUACCAUCUUCAAAUCAGAAAUUACAAUCCUCUCAUCUUCCAUAUCACCAGCUUUGAGAAAUAUUCAGCGCAAUGAUCUACAGUACUUUACAGCAAAGCAGUGUCUAGGUAUGGUAUUUCCACUAAUCUCAUGUCUUGAAGGCCCAAUACAGUUUAUUCAUCAGAAAUUAAAAAGAACGGCAGAAGCAAAGUAUUUUACAGUAGCCUUUUUGUUCACUGUACAAAACAAUGACCAGGUACACAUAGUUAAUAUUCGUUUGAAAGAACACCAGAUUCACUUGAAAAACUGAUUGAAUCUUACUUAUCAUCAUGUGUUUCAUUAGGUUUCCAUUUGGAUAUAGCAUAAAUUACUCUCCCUUUCCAUCCUUGCAGUAGCCAACCACCAUCUUCAACAGCAAAUAAUUCCUCAUGAUAAAGUGUGUUCUUCUUUUGUACUAUUUUGUUUAAGAUGGCUGGAUCAACAGGAAGCUGCUGGAACCCAGCCUUGAGGAACCUUGCUUGCCACUGCCUGUAACUUUCCCGCCUCUCGGUCCAUUCUGCAUCCUCACAUGCUAUGCUGUUGAGUGCAUCCCGCCCAAAGAGGAUCCUCUCGAUCGUCUUUCUUGCUUCAUUUUCCCGUGGAACAUUUGCAUCCAUCAUGUCAAACAUUGAAGAGUAAUGGAACAUAACCUCUUUGAAACGUUGUAUGAAGAAGGGAGAACUGCGUAACCCAUUCACGGUGCCAGAAAUAAAAAUCUUUGGGUUCAUCCUCCUCAUAGUUUUGAGCACCUCGUCCCUUGUGCUAUUUAUGGCUUUGGUUUCAUGACCGAGAUUCUUCAUCCGGAACAUGCAGUUGAUUAUGAGGACUUCACCCUCCUCAAUGUUAAGAUCCUCAAUUUUAAUGGUCUCCCAUCUUGAAGCGGCAAUGCCCUGAUACUGAAAAGGUACCUUGAACAUGUUUGCAUAAUCAGCCAACCGUUUCCCUGUCUCCUUGAUCAUUUCGCAUGGGCGUAAGCCUGGCUGGGGAACGUCUAUACCUGUGAUCCGAAGCUUAGGGGCUCCCUCUUCUUGCUUUGCAAACCUCUGAAUCAUUAAUGGCCUCUGAAAGCCGAAGCCGAUGCCGAAAUCAAUGAUGUGCACUCUUGGAUGCCCUUGUGAGACAUCAAGAAUAGCUUGGUUGGCAAAGUGGUAUGACGCCCUGUCGAAAGGGCAAGAUGCAAUAAAAAGACUGUAAGCCUCUAACCAGUCUGUGGUACUUGUUCGCCUUUCCAUGAGAUUUUGAUAAACCUGACUCCUGGUCCCAGCCAAGUGUGCCUCGAGGCCAUCCACCAAGUAAAAUGCCAGUCUCUGGGUACAAGUACCAUCUGGUGAGGAGUGUUGCCCUAUCUUCUUUAGGAUUUCACUGGCCAACAGGUGGUUGCCUUCUGCCACAGCUUCUGCGCAAUUGAUGAGGAGAUUCCUGAGAUCAACCAACUCUCUCCUCGGUUGCUUCCUCUGCCAUAGCUUCAGACGUCCUUUGCUCCGGCCUUUCAGUGAGUUAUUGUUUCCUUCCCCUGCCAUCCUUUCUCGCAGUCUUGUUCUCCGGUCGAAACUCUUCCGACCAUAGCAUAGCAGAACUCGGUCGAAAUUUUCGUUUCGAAUUAUGGCACAAGUUGUGAUGGCAUGAUGUGUAUUGCUCCUAUCUUGAAAGAUAUCCCAGCCCCUUUGGUCUGCCACCUCAAAGAUUGCAUUUUCGCUCCUCUCUACUACUUUUACCUUCGUAGUCAGUUGGGAAAUAUAAAGUACGUCAUUCUUUAAAUAUAUCACCAGCUUAUCAAUACUUGGAGCACACAUUUUUUCCUCCUCAACACCUCUCUGACAAUGCAAGGCAGGGAAGCCAGAUUUGGAAGUCCAUCCAACACUUACCAAUGGAUGGUCUGGUAGAAAAAGACUCCUGUUGCAGGUAUAUGGACUCAACGGGGUUGCUAAGGGCUGUAACACAUUGUAACUGGAAUAGUCAUUACUGAAGCUAGUGGUCCUGAGCCUCUUGUAACGGCUGGUCCCACUCUUAUCAGCGUUGUCUGGUUUGUUGUUUCUAUGCAAUGGCGGCCAGUCAGUAGCUGAUGCGUACACCUCCCCAAGAAUGUCACGGAAUGGCUUCUCAGCGGCCUGGAGGGCAGUCUCCCCUUGGCAUACGUCGACCCCCUCGUCGACGUCUUCCAUCAGCAUCUGACUUAUGUAGUGAAGAGCAUUGUUUGAUCUGAUCUGGUGGUGCUCAGGGCUACGCCCUGCAGCAAUCUGAACUUGGUUUUGUCCAGGGCUGCUGUUGACGCUGCACAACCCAGGGCUGGUGACUCCACCAAGCAGAUAUGUGCUUGGUUGGUUGGCUGGGUUAAGAACUGUGGAGUGUGGACUACUCAGGUCGUAGUUGUACAUGGUGAGUUGCUGCUCGGAAGAGGAAUCACCAUCGUAUGGUUGGUCGGUUGCUGCGAUGCCGUCCAGAUUGUCACGGAGAGGUUCAAUCGCCAUUCUGGAAAGUCUGCUUUCCACCUCAAUAUGAGAUAUAUGAUUCUUCUUUGGCCCGCAGCAAAUGCAUCAGCUUGUUUCCUGGAAGAUGGAAGCUAAAUUAGGAAAUUAUGUGAGACGACCGUCCACCUUGCUCAUGUGCUACAAUCUAGAAUGCCCAUUGUUGAUCAACCCAGUCUACAGGGUGUUGUAUGCUAGGCUUUCUCCGGUCCAAAAGGCUGAGGCGGAGAAAGAGCAUUAGGCUUUAGCUAGUAGAAAGGCUGAGGUGGAGAAGUAGUGUUAGGCUUUAGCUAGUAAAAAGGCUGAGCUGAACGGCAGCAGGAAGUUUCCUAGUACUGUAGAUAGGAAUGUGCUAUGCAUGUUCAUAGUAGUAGCACCGUAAGUGUCAUCCGGGUCCUAUAAAAGGAGCUGCUCCCCAUCGGUUGUAAGCAGGGCAAAUAGCAAUCAAAGUGAAGUAGCAUUACCACUACCACGAGCCUCACUCCGUAGUAGUACGUGAGCAUCUCCAAGUGAGUGUGUGUGAGCGUUGCUUGUGUCGUGCUAGCUUGCACUAGCUGCUACUUAGGCUGUUUUUUUUGCUCUCCUAGCUCAGUGUGCAGCUGCAGAUUAUUUUGGUAACUCUGUUAGUGUACAAGAAGAGAGCUAGUCAGUAGUUUUGGGCAACACCUGUAAACCGGAAUUCUGCUUCCCUCACCCUCUACUUCUUGCUGUUUAUUAGAUAUUCAGCUUAUGAUUGUUUUGACAUGCCAUCAGUGGCGGAGCUUCACAAGGUUCAAUGUGUGUGUGUGUGUGGUGGGGGGGUAAUGCUGUCCCAUAAAAAUUUUCUUCAGUAAUUUACCCAAACCUGGGAGGGCGGUGGCCCCUGCAGGGUUGCACUAAACUCCGCCAGUGCAUGCCAUACUGAUUGGAAAAGAAAACUGAAGACUUGCACACACAAGAACAUUAUUUUACCCAGUUAAACAUAGAAUGUUUAAUUCACAUCAAUAACAGAAACAUCACACCUAGCGAUUUGUGAAUCUACGACAAGCCUAAUACCACUGUUCAUAUUAUUUAUUUGCAGGAAGCUCCUCAUCUGAUCGAAGCAAGUAGCAAAAGCAGGGAAGCACACACCUUGGUUAUUGAGCAGCAUCCGAUCCAAUGCUUUGAGAGGAGUAAUGAGGAUGUGGGCUAUGAAAGAAGAGUAGUGAGGCUGUGGUGUAGAUUUAUACCGUAUUUUUGUUGUUCCUCUACCUUGUUGCUUCGUUCCCAACGUCCGCCAUGGUUAUCUCUACUCCUAAUGUCUCAGUUGGUAGUCUCUGUUCCGGUUUUAUUUUCG